CCUACGAGUGGCAGCAGUGAGGAAUAUUGGUCAAUGGGCGCGAGCCUGAACCAGCCAAGUAGCGUGAAGGAUGACUGCCCUACGGGUUGUAAACUUCUUUUAUAAAGGAAUAAAGUGAGGCACGGGUGCCUUUUUGUAUGUACUUUAUGAAUAAGGAUCGGCUAACUCCGUGCCAGCAGCCGCGGUAAUACGGAGGAUACGAGCGUUAUCCGUAUUUAUUGGGUUUAAAGGGAGCGUAGAUGGGUUGUUAAGUCAGUUGUGAAAGUUUGCGGCUCAACCGUAAAAUUGCAAUUGAUACUGGCAGUCUUGAGUACAGUUGAGGUAGGCGGAAUUCGUGGUGUAGCGGUGAAAUGCUUAGAUAUCACGAAGAACUCCGAUUGCGAAGGCAGCUUACUAAACUGCCACUGACAUUGAUGCUCGAAAGUGUGGGUAUCAAACAGGAGUAGAUACCCUUGUAGUC
rnacentral:rRNA from 1 species